UACUGUCCAAAGCGGUGCGAUCUGA
rnacentral:sRNA from 1 species